GGCCUCCAGGUGCCCUCGAGCUCGCACUCGCAUCAGAUCCCUUCCAGGCCACCACGCCACACCACCAGAUCCCAUCGCCGCCGCCUCGCACUCGCAUCCCAUCGCCGCCGCCCGUGCGUUCUCGAUCGGAGAGGACGCUCCCUUCGCCGCCGCUGAGAUCCGAGAAGAGUCGCCCUUCGCCGGCGCCAAGAUCCUGUGCCUCUCUAAAGACCCCUCUCUCUCGCGACACCGCCUCCCUUACAAGGACGCCACGCCAUGGGUCUCCAUCGGUGCCACGACUGCCACGGCUUCCCCACCUGCCGACGCUCUAGAUCCGGCCGUAGUUGAUUCCCUGUACAUCAUCUCAAGGAGGAGGGGCGUGAGGCGGUUGCCGCCGCCGGUGGCUGCACUUGAAGGUCUCCGCCGCUUGCUCCAACCAGAUCCAGCCAGGCCGUCCUGUGGUGGUCCACGUGCAUCUGGACGGACGCAACGGCUUUGCCUCCCCUGUCCCAUGUCUUCAUCCACCACACCAUCCCAUUGCGCUGCUGCUACCCGGGCUCACAUGACCCCGUGGAGGAAGGAGCUGCGCAAGGAAUCACUGUCAAAAGACUCGAGAUGAGUUUGGAGUAUCCUGGAUUCCAGGCCAUGUUCCGCAAGGACGAAGCAACGCGAGCUAGCCGAGGGUUCAGAUUGACGUUCGCUUUGAUUCUCGUUGAUUCAUUGUUUUGACCGACCCAAGCAGCGCCGGCGCUCACGGAGGAGAACCUGAUGUUCCUAGAGGCCUGACGCGCGGUCGAUCACACUUACUACGACAAGUCCUCCAACGGGUGGAGCUGGUUCAGGUACCACAAGCACCCUCCAUGAAAAGCAGGUUCCAGCUGUGCAAAGUCGACCUGCUACUGCUAUCCAUACUGCGCCAUAACAAAAUAGCUUUGGAUCAGGACUAACCUCUAGCCAGGAAAGAACCUGAAUCCCAAGUCGACGGCCGCUGCGGUGCCCACGUCCGCGUCAUUAGUGCUGCUAAGGGGCGCUUCACCCUGUUCGGCAUUAUCUUCUAUUCUUCCUACGGCUGCAAGAACCCUCACCUUGGCUAUGGCAGAUGCGACAGAUAAAGCAGGAGAUGGAUGAAAUGCUGCUGAGACGUUACAAGAUAUUCCAGCAGAGGCAUCCUUACCGUCCGCAUUACAAGGAUAUGAGAACAUUGGGGUCCUGAAGGCAGUGACCUGUUUACCAUAUACAUAUUUACUUCCUUUCUAGGGCGGAACAAUGGAAGGCACAAUUCCAAAUUUUCAAGUACAGCUCUUCAAGAACAGGAUCUCUGAAGGAACAACAAUUUACAAGCUUGGCGCUUACCAGGUUCAAUAUGCUAGGGAAAGAUACAAAACUGUAGAUUGUCCAUGGAGAGUAGUGUUUGCCCAAAAAACUACCGUGGAACCAAUUGUGCCUCAGCCACCAAACUUUCCCAAGUAUGGAUAUACCACCUACAAUGUACACAGUACCAAAGCUGCAUUAAACAAAUCGUUUUGUUGUCAGAAUUCCCGCCGUUGUGAUGUUUUGGGGAAAAUUAGCAGAUGCCCUUGAUAGUUACAAGCUACAACGGUGGUCUGCUCAAGAACCCAUUAUAGUUCUAUUUGUUGGCAUGCCAGUACAUGAAUUUAAUGAAACUUGACCUUCAAGUCCUGUCUGGCAACUCGAUGGUACAUAAAUCCAACUAUUUCUGAAGCGGCAGCUAUUCUAGGAAGAUCUACUGCAAGAUCCCAUCAAAUUGAGAUAAGCACCAGCUCACAGGGUCAUCGCUAGGCAACAAAUACAACAAACACAUAAUUAUCAGCCGUUGACCCUGGUGGAAUCAUGGACCAGUACUAUAAACUGGAAAUAAAGAGAACUGAAGUGUCCCCUUCCAUGGCGUUGGGGGGCCUUUCUCUGCCAGGCGCGGUGGCUCCUUGGUAGGUCGAUGCAGCUUGCUCGGCGGAGGCUAGGAGGCUCGUCGGCCGACAUUUCGUUGAUGCAUGGGUGCCAUAUUGCGAUGGAAAGGCAGUAUAAUAUACAAAACUUUGACGAGGCUCACCUGCUUCAAAAUUUCACAAUAAGUCCAAUCAAGACAACUUGCAACUUUGGUGUUGUCACAUUGGAGUCCGUGCUGAGCAGCAAUGGGAGACUGUCGUUGAUGCCCGACCCAUGAUGCCGACGAAGGAACGAGAGUCGAUGAGGAGUAGACGCCAUGGGUUUGUGAACUGGCCAAGCCACCGUUGUCCGUUUGGUAAUGUGACUUGCCCUGAUUUUGACGUCGUCUACCAACAUCCGACGAAGGGAACCCGUCCCGGUUUCCAUCUUGAUGGUAAGUUCUCUAAUCUUCUAUCUCAUGGGAUGUGAUGUGGUUGCCUUCAUUUUGGCUUUUGACAAAGGGUUGAAAUUAGCUUAUGUGCUUCCGACGAUUGAAAUUCCAGUUAUAUUAUCAACCUUCAGCGAGCAGUGACAACGAACUCCAUCCCCCCACCACACCACACCCAUGUUUCAUUUGAUGUGCUUUAAGCCAUG